rnacentral:misc_RNA from 1 species
UGUGAUACAUAUAGCACUUUAUUGAAUUAUAUUCAGACAAACGAAGUAAGAAGGAAUGAUAACUAAUUUUAUCAAACGUGUUGAAAAAUAAAUUUGCAAUGUAUGUGAAUGCAAGUCUUCUAGUUUGUAUGAAAAUAUCAUCAUAAUAUUUUAAUAUAUGACAUGUAUUUGUCAUGUAUAUGUCAUGUAUAAAUAAUAUUCAUGCAUUUUUUUUAAAUUUGUGUAUUACUGUAGGCUUUAACAGUUACGAUAUAUUUGAUGAUAAGCGUUUGACUUGCCUGCAGAUUACAGAACAGCAUACCAUAUCUUCUAUUAGAUGGUUUGUACCGUAAUUUUCAAUAGUGGUAUGAUUGAAAUAGUUAUAUCUUUAAUAAAAAAUCACUUACAAAUUGAUACAGACAUACAUAUAUUACUUUGAUUCAAGUUUUUGUAAACUUUGAUGUUGAAUUAAAAAAUUUCAUGGUACCUCAAGCUAUUUAUUUGACAAAACGUCACAAGAUAUGGAUGGAUACUUAAAUGUUUUGUUGAUUUGUUUAUAUCAUAUUUUAUUAUAUCAAUGAUUCUAUUUGAAUAAAUCAUAUUUCUUUC